rnacentral:rRNA from 1 species
GAUGAACGCUGGCGGCGUGCCUAAUACAUGCAAGUCGAGCGAACAGACGAGGAGCUUGCUCCUCUGACGUUAGCGGCGGACGGGUGAGUAACACGUGGAUAACCUACCUAUAAGACUGGGAUAACUUCGGGAAACCGGAGCUAAUACCGGAUAAUAUAUUGAACCGCAUGGUUCAAUAGUUAAAGACGGUUUUGCUGUCACUUAUAGAUGGAUCCGCGCCGCAUUAGCUAGUUGGUAAGGUGACGGCUUACCAAGGCAACGAUGCGUAGCCGACCUGAGAGGGUGAUCGGCAACACUGGAACUGAGACACGGUCCAGAUUCCUACGGGAGGCAGCAGUAGGGAAUCUUCCGCAAUGGGCGAAAGCUUGACGGAGCAACGCCGCGUGAGUGAUGAAGGUCUUCGGAUCGUAAAACUCUGUUAUUAGGGAAGAACAAAUGUGUAAGUAACUAUGCACGUCUUGACGGUACCUAAUCAGAAAGCCACGGCUAACUACGUG